UACGAAGGGGGCUAGCGUUGUUCGGAAUUACUGGGCGUAAAGCGUGCGCAGGCGGUUAUAUAAGACAGUUGUGAAAUCCCCGGGCUCAACCUGGGAACUGCAUCUGUGACUGUAUAGCUAGAGUACGGUAGAGGGGGAUGGAAUUCCGCGUGUAGCAGUGAAAUGCGUAGAUAUGCGGAGGAACACCGAUGGCGAAGGCAGUUCUCUGGGCCGUAACUGACGCUGAGGAGCGAAAAGCGUGGGGAGCGAACAGG
rnacentral:rRNA from 1 species